UACGAAGGGAGCUAGCGUUGUUCGGAAUCACUGGGCGUAAAGCGCACGUAGGCGGAUUUGCCAGUCAGGGGUGAAAUCCCGGGGCUCAACCUCGGAACUGCCUUUGAUACAGCAAGUCUUGAGUUCGAGAGAGGUGGGUGGAAUUCCUAGUGUAGAGGUGAAAUUCGUAGAUAUUAGGAAGAACACCGGUGGCGAAGGCGGCCCACUGGCUCGACACUGACGCUGAGGCGCGAAAGCGUGGGGAGCAAACAGG
rnacentral:rRNA from 1 species